rnacentral:rRNA from 1 species
UCCAAGCGUUGUCCGGAUUUACUGGGCGUAAAGAGCGCGUAGGCGGUCCGUUAAGUGUAGAGUGAAAGCUCCGGGCUCAACUCGGAAAUUGCUCUGCAUACUGGCGGACUCGAGGACGGAAGAGGUUUGUGGAAUUCCUGGUGUAGCGGUGAAAUGCGCAGAUAUCAGGAAGAACACCCGUGGCGAAGGCGGCUCUCUGGGACGGUACUGACGCUGAGACGCGAAAGCGUGGGGAGCAAACAGG